rnacentral:rRNA from 1 species
AGCGUACACGGUGGAUGCCCUGGCAGUCAGAGGCGAUGAAGGACGUGCUAAUCUGCGAUAAGCGUCGGUAAGGUGAUAUGAACCGUUAUAACCGGCGAUUUCCGAAUGGGGAAACCCAGUGUGAUUCGUCACACUAUCAUUAACUGAAUCCAUAGGUUAAUGAGGCGAACCGGGGGAACUGAAACAUCUAAGUACCCCGAGGAAAAGAAAUCAACCGAGAUUCCCCCAGUAGCGGCGAGCGAACGGGGAGCAGCCCAGAGCCUGAAUCAGUGUGUGUGUUAGUGGAAGCGUCUGGAAAGGCGCGCGAUACAGGGUGACAGCCCCGUACACAAAAAUGCACAUACUGUGAGCUCGAUGAGUAGGGCGGGACACGUGGUAUCCUGUCUGAAUAUGGGGGGACCAUCCUCCAAGGCUAAAUACUCCUGACUGACCGAUAGUGAACCAGUACCGUGAGGGAAAGGCGAAAAGAACCCCGGCGAGGGGAGUGAAAAAGAACCUGAAACCGUGUACGUACAAGCAGUGGGAGCACAGAGCAAUCUGUGUGACUGCGUACCUUUUGUAUAAUGGGUCAGCGACUUAUAUUCUGUAGCAAGGUUAACCGAAUAGGGGAGCCGAAGGGAAACCGAGUCUUAACUGGGCGUUAAGUUGCAGGGUAUAGACCCGAAACCCGGUGAUCUAGCCAUGGGCAGGUUGAAGGUUGGGUAACACUAACUGGAGGACCGAACCGACUAAUGUUGAAAAAUUAGCGGAUGACUUGUGGCUGGGGGUGAAAGGCCAAUCAAACCGGGAGAUAGCUGGUUCUCCCCGAAAGCUAUUUAGGUAGCGCCUCGUGAAUUCAUCUCCGGGGGUAGAGCACUGUUUCGGCAAGGGGGUCAUCCCGACUUACCAACCCGAUGCAAACUGCGAAUACCGGAGAAUGUUAUCACGGGAGACACACGGCGGGUGCUAACGUCCGUCGUGAAGAGGGAAACAACCCAGACCGCCAGCUAAGGUCCCAAAGUCAUGGUUAAGUGGGAAACGAUGUGGGAAGGCCCAGACAGCCAGGAUGUUGGCUUAGAAGCAGCCAUCAUUUAAAGAAAGCGUAAUAGCUCACUGGUCGAGUCGGCCUGCGCGGAAGAUGUAACGGGGCUAAACCAUGCACCGAAGCUGCGGCAGCGACGCUUAUGCGUUGUUGGGUAGGGGAGCGUUCUGUAAGCCUGUGAAGGUGUACUGUGAGGUAUGCUGGAGGUAUCAGAAGUGCGAAUGCUGACAUAAGUAACGAUAAAGCGGGUGAAAAGCCCGCUCGCCGGAAGACCAAGGGUUCCUGUCCAACGUUAAUCGGGGCAGGGUGAGUCGACCCCUAAGGCGAGGCCGAAAGGCGUAGUCGAUGGGAAACAGGUUAAUAUUCCUGUACUUGGUGUUACUGCGAAGGGGGGACGGAGAAGGCUAUGUUGGCCGGGCGACGGUUGUCCCGGUUUAAGCGUGUAGGCUGGUUUUCCAGGCAAAUCCGGAAAAUCAAGGCUGAGGCGUGAUGACGAGGCACUACGGUGCUGAAGCAACAAAUGCCCUGCUUCCAGGAAAAGCCUCUAAGCAUCAGGUAACAUCAAAUCGUACCCCAAACCGACACAGGUGGUCAGGUAGAGAAUACCAAGGCGCUUGAGAGAACUCGGGUGAAGGAACUAGGCAAAAUGGUGCCGUAACUUCGGGAGAAGGCACGCUGAUAUGUAGGUGAAGCGACUUGCUCGUGGAGCUGAAAUCAGUCGAAGAUACCAGCUGGCUGCAACUGUUUAUUAAAAACACAGCACUGUGCAAACACGAAAGUGGACGUAUACGGUGUGACGCCUGCCCGGUGCCGGAAGGUUAAUUGAUGGGGUUAGCGCAAGCGAAGCUCUUGAUCGAAGCCCCGGUAAACGGCGGCCGUAACUAUAACGGUCCUAAGGUAGCGAAAUUCCUUGUCGGGUAAGUUCCGACCUGCACGAAUGGCGUAAUGAUGGCCAGGCUGUCUCCACCCGAGACUCAGUGAAAUUGAACUCGCUGUGAAGAUGCAGUGUACCCGCGGCAAGACGGAAAGACCCCGUGAACCUUUACUAUAGCUUGACACUGAACAUUGAGCCUUGAUGUGUAGGAUAGGUGGGAGGCUUUGAAGUGUGGACGCCAGUCUGCAUGGAGCCGACCUUGAAAUACCACCCUUUAAUGUUUGAUGUUCUAACGUUGACCCGUAAUCCGGGUUGCGGACAGUGUCUGGUGGGUAGUUUGACUGGGGCGGUCUCCUCCUAAAGAGUAACGGAGGAGCACGAAGGUUGGCUAAUCCUGGUCGGACAUCAGGAGGUUAGUGCAAUGGCAUAAGCCAGCUUGACUGCGAGCGUGACGGCGCGAGCAGGUGCGAAAGCAGGUCAUAGUGAUCCGGUGGUUCUGAAUGGAAGGGCCAUCGCUCAACGGAUAAAAGGUACUCCGGGGAUAACAGGCUGAUACCGCCCAAGAGUUCAUAUCGACGGCGGUGUUUGGCACCUCGAUGUCGGCUCAUCACAUCCUGGGGCUGAAGUAGGUCCCAAGGGUAUGGCUGUUCGCCAUUUAAAGUGGUACGCGAGCUGGGUUUAGAACGUCGUGAGACAGUUCGGUCCCUAUCUGCCGUGGGCGCUGGAGAACUGAGGGGGGCUGCUCCUAGUACGAGAGGACCGGAGUGGACGCAUCACUGGUGUUCGGGUUGUCAUGCCAAUGGCACUGCCCGGUAGCUAAAUGCGGAAGAGAUAAGUGCUGAAAGCAUCUAAGCACGAAACUUGCCCCGAGAUGAGUUCUCCCUGACUCCUUGA